UACGGGGGGAGCAAGCGUUGUUCGGAUUUACUGGGCGUGAAGGGCGCGUAGGCGGUCAGCACAAGUCAGUUGUGAAAUCUCCGAGCUUAACUCGGAAAGGUCAACUGAUACUGUGCGACUAGAGUGCAGAAGGGGCAACUGGAAUUCUUGGUGUAGCGGUGAAAUGCGUAGAUAUCAAGAGGAACACCUGCGGCGAAGGCGGGUUGCUGGGCUGACACUGACGCUGAUGCGCGAAAGCGUGGGGAGCGAACCGG
rnacentral:rRNA from 1 species